CAUAUACUUCCUCCGUUUCAUAAUUGUUGUCUCAAAUUUGCUUAAAAAUGGAUGUAUCUAUUUCUAAAAAGCGUCUAGAUACAUGUAAUAAUUCGACAAGAAUUAUGAAACGGAGGGAGUAUUUU
rfam:Brachypodium distachyon strain Bd21 chromosome 2, whole genome shotgun sequence.